rnacentral:rRNA from 1 species
GAUGAACGCUGGCGGCGUGCUUAACACAUGCAAGUCGAACGGUGAAGCAGGAGCUUGCUCUUGUGGAUCAGUGGCGAACGGGUGAGUAACACGUGAGCAACCUGCCCCUGACUCUGGGAUAAGCGCUGGAAACGGCGUCUAAUACUGGAUAUGUGAUGUGACCGCAUGGUCUGCAUCUGGAAAGAAUUUCGGUUGGGGAUGGGCUCGCGGCCCAUCAGCUUGUUGGUGAGGUAAUGGCUCGCCAAGGCGUCGACGGGUAGCCGGCCUGAGAGGGUGACCGGCCACACUGGGACUGAGACACGGCCCAGACUCCUACGGGAGGCAGCAAUGGGGAAUAUUGCACAAUGGGCGGAAGCCUGAUGCAGCAACGCCGCGUGAGGGAUGACGGCCUUCGGGUUGUAAACCUCUUUUAGCAGGGAAGAAGCGAAAGUGACGGUACCUGCAGAAAAAGCACCGGCUAACUACGUGCCAGCCGCCGCCGUAA